rnacentral:rRNA from 1 species
AUUGAACGCUAGCGGGAUGCCUUACACAUGCAAGUCGAACGAGAGGCGUGCGGGAGAGUAAUGUAUGGGAACGGGCCCAGUGGAGGGGGAUAACUACUCGAAAGAAUGGCUACUACCGCCUGCUACGGGAGCUGCCGGUAUCGGAUUAGCGAGGUGGGGGGGUAAAGGCGCACCAAGGCAACGAGCCGUAGCUGGUUUGAGAGGACGACCAGCCACACUGGGACUGAGACACGGCCCAGACUCCUACGGGAGGCAGCAGUGGGGAAUUUUGGACAAUGGGGGAAACCCUGAUCCAGCCAUCCCGCGUGUAUGAGAAGGCCUUCGGGUUGUAAAGUACUUUUGGCAGAGAAGCGGUAUCUGCAGAAUAAGCACCGGCUAACUACGUGCCAGCAGCCGCGGUAAUUC